rnacentral:misc_RNA from 1 species
UUAAGUUCAGCGGGUAGUCCUACCCGAUUUGAGGUCAGAUGUCAGACGCAAAGGUCCGCUGUUGUCCCGAGGGACGGUUAGAAGCGGAAGGGUCGCAGGCUCAGGACCGGGGACUCUCGACGGGUGUGACUUAUCACGCCAAUGAGAGCCGGCAGAGCUAGCGUCUCUCGCUAAUGCAUUUAAGACGAGCCGGGCGGUGA